ACGGGUGAGUAAUACAUCGGAACGUGCCCAGUAGUGGGGGAUAGCCCGGCGAAAGCCGGAUUAAUACCGCAUACGACCUACGGGUGAAAGCGGGGGAUCGCAAGACCUCGCGCUAUUGGAGCGGCCGAUGUCAGAUUAGGUAGUUGGUGGGGUAAAGGCCUACCAAGCCGACGAUCUGUAGCUGGUCUGAGAGGACGACCAGCCACACUGGGACUGAGACACGGCCCAGACUCCUACGGGAGGCAGCAGUGGGGAAUUUUGGACAAUGGGGGAAACCCUGAUCCAGCCAUGCCGCGUGCGGGAAGAAGGCCUUCGGGUUGUAAACCGCUUUUGUCAGGGAAGAAACGCACUGGGCUAAUACCCCGGUGUAAUGACGGUACCUGAAGAAUAAGCACCGGCUAACUACGUGCCAGCAGCCGCGGUAAUACGUAGGGUGCAAGCGUUAAUCGGAAUUACUGGGCGUAAAGCGUGCGCAGGCGGCUUUGCAAGACAGAUGUGAAAUCCCCGGGCUUAACCUGGGAACUGCAUUUGUGACUGCAUGGCUGGAGUGCGGCAGAGGGGGAUGGAAUUCCGCGUGUAGCAGUGAAA
rnacentral:rRNA from 1 species